rnacentral:misc_RNA from 1 species
GGGUACCUUCGCAUUCAUCUACUUCUUUCAAAUAAAAAGAAAUCAGAUGUCAGAAAUCAGAUCCGAAUAUAAAGCAGUCCAAGCCAGAAUGAUUCAGGCUCGGAGAUCUGGAUUCAGAAAUCGAUAUCCGAAAGCAAACUUGGCCGAAUGCGCAUUGUAUUAUAGCGCUUCGUCCAUAGGACCUUCGAUAAAUAUCAAAACUCAGCAAUUA